rnacentral:rRNA from 1 species
GACGAACGCUGGCGGCGUGCCUAAUACAUGCAAGUUGAGCGCUGAAGGUUGGUACUUGUACCGACUGGAUGAGCAGCGAACGGGUGAGUAACGCGUGGGGAAUCUGCCUUUGAGCGGGGGACAACAUUUGGAAACGAAUGCUAAUACCGCAUAAAAACUUUAAACACAAGUUUUAAGUUUGAAAGAUGCAAUUGCAUCACUCAAAGAUGAUCCCGCGUUGUAUUAGCUAGUUGGUGAGGUAAAGGCUCACCAAGGCGAUGAUACAUAGCCGACCUGAGAGGGGGGUCGGCCACAUUGGGACUGACACAGGGCCCAAACCCCUACGGGGGGCAGCAGUGGGGAAUUUUCGGCAAUGGACGAAAGUCUGACCGAGCAACGCCGCGGGAGUGAAGAAGGUGUUGGGAUCGUAAAACUCUGUUGGUAGAGAAAAACGUGGGGGGGGGGGGAAAGCUCAUAAAGUGACGGUAACUACCCAAAAAGGGACGGCUAACUACGU